GACGAACGCUGGCGGCGUGCCUAACACAUGCAAGUCGAGCGGGGUUGAAGCGAGGGGUAACUCGAGUUUCUACCUAGCGGCGGACGGGUGAGUAACGCGUGGGCAACCUGCCUCAAGGACUGGGAUAACAGCUCGAAAGGGCUGCUAAUACCGGAUAUGCCUGUGGCCUCGCAUGGGGCUAUGAGCAAAGGGGAAACCCGCCUUGAGAUGGGCCCGCGUCCCAUCAGCUAGUUGGUGAGGUGAAGGCUCACCAAGGCGACGACGGGUAGCCGGCCUGAGAGGGUGACCGGCCACACUGGGACUGAGACACGGCCCAGACUCCUACGGGGGCAGCAGUGGGGAAUCUUGCACAAUGGGCGAAAGCCUGAUGCAGCGACGCCGCGUGAGCGAAGAAGGCCUUCGGUGUAAGACUCUGUCUGAGGGACGGAAGGAAGUAGACGGUACCGUCCGGAGGAAGCACGGCUAACUACGUGCCAGCAGCCGCGGUAAAAUACACGUGUA
rnacentral:rRNA from 1 species